CAGACCUUGACAGUUGUAACCGAUAGACUGGGCUGGGGCAACGCUGAUGAAAGGCAAAUUCCUGAGAGAAAAAUCACCCAGAUUUUUCAGUGCCUUCUCUAGCUUUCUAGAAGUUGUUAUGAGUGGACCUGACUACCUAGAGAGAGUAAUACAGAAGCUCCGUGCCGAUCACAGCUACCUCAUUACCAUGUUCCUCCAAGAUGGCCGCCCCUGAGGAGAAUCAUCAACUGGGCUUUACGGAAGAGAGAAAUCCAAACGACCAUCAGCAACAAAUGAAAGACUGAAGUUGAAAGUUUCAAGAUUGUCAAGAAUGACGAGUUGGACUUGGUCUAGUUACUUCCACAGCAGCAGGAGGAACAUGUGUGUGACUCAGGAUAACUGGGGAAGCCUUGGCUAGGCUUUCCUCAUGUCAACCUACCACUCAAAGGGAGAAAACCUCCUGAUCAGAGGUGCCCAGAACCCAGGUUUGGUGGGGUUGGUUGAGGGGUGAGUCUGGAGAAACUAGAAAUCUAAGGGGGUGUGUGUGUGAACAUGUUUUUUGUUUUUGUUUUUUUUUGACAGGAAAUCCAUAAUUUUUGAAUGCUGGCCGAGGUCUGUGACCUCUGACUGAAUGGUUUCCAAGCUCCGAAUUCCUAGGUGAUGUUUUCAUUUGUUCACACUUGCUGAAGAAGGGAAAGGCUCUCUGAUUUACGUGUAAGCAAAACAAUCUAAACAGUAGGAUAAAAUCAUGUUGGAAUGGAGUUCUGUGUGGAUGCUCCUUUG
ensembl:lncRNA LINC01206 long intergenic non-protein coding RNA 1206